AACGAACGCUGGCGGCAGGCUUAACACAUGCAAGUCGAGCGCCCACUUCGGUGGGAGCGGCAGACGGGUGAGUAACACGUGGGAAUCUACCUAUCGGUGCGGAACAACAGUUAGAAAUGACUGCUAAUACCGCAUACGUCCUCAGGGAGAAAGAUUUAUCGCCGAUAGAUGAGCCCGCGUUUGAUUAGCUAGUUGGUGAGGUAAUGGCUCACCAAGGCGACGAUCAAUAGCUGGUCUGAGAGGAUGAUCAGCCACACUGGGACUGAGACACGGCCCAGACUCCUACGGGGAGGCAGCAGUGGGGGGAAUAUUGGACAAUGGGCGCAAGCCUGAUCCAGCCAUGCCGCGUGAGUGAUGAAGGCCCUAGGGUUGUAAAGCUCUUUCGCAGGUGAAGAUAAUGACGGUAACCUGUAAAGAAGCCCCGGCUAACUUCGUGCCAGCCGCCGCGGUAAUU
rnacentral:rRNA from 1 species